GUUUGGAACUUCUGUCCGGUUCCUUUACAGUCCGCAGUUCCUCCCCAACUCAAGCCCAAUGUGCUAUCCUUCUGAAGAUGGACAACGUGUCAGCUGUCCGCUACAUCAAUCACCUGGAGGCACAAAAUACAAAAUUCUGACCUACAUGGCUCGAGAAUAUAUUCAAGGUCUCUCCAACACUACGGCGGACUGGUAUUCACACUGGCACUUGGAUUCCAUUCCAUCUUUUUUCUUGCAAGAGGUUUUCUGACAUACGAGCUCUUGAGUUGGUUGCUCGUUCCUUGACUCCAGAAGGUGUCCUCUUUGACAUUUCUCAGAGGACAAAACCCUCCUCUAAAAUCAUUUUAUACUCAGCUUUUCCUGAUAGAUCUCUCCUUUGCCCUGUUGCAUACUUAUGGGAGCAUGAACUACGUUACAGAAUCCUUUGCAACCGGAACUCUUCAUCUCUUUCCAAAAGUCGUGUCUUCCGGGGUCUACUCUAGCAUGGUGGGUCAAAUACGAUGCUCUGCCGUUAGGAUGAAGUUUGUAAUCGUUG